rnacentral:lncRNA from 1 species
UAUAAGAUUCAAAUUAUCAAGCUGAAAUUCUAUUGCCCCUUGGUAUUCAAACUGAAAUUACUUAGAAUCCAAGAGAGGAGUGGAGAACAUGGUCAAGGCUCAAAAGUUCAGAAGACUCUGAGGCAGCAGCAGAGGAGGGAGCAGAUUUCCAGCAUCGUCUGCCUCGCUGAUUUUGACAAUCAGCCAAUGGUGAAACAGCUAAUACUCGAAAUUAUUUUCUAUGUUCUCACGGCAGCAACUACAUGCGUGGUCUUGACAACUCCCAGAUGUCCUCCGGUCAGUCGCCAAGCCUUGGCUUGCUCAGCACGAAUUCCAGCUCCUGUUUAAUGCGCUAGGAAGUACAACUAGCAGUCAAUCAGCAACUUUCUGAUGUCCACUCUCUGGCCAAGGAAAUGCGUUCCUGGAUCUGUCAUUUCCGCUGGUUGUUAUCUUGCUCCAAUUUCGUGACUAAGGUAGUGUGAUUCUAGAAUGAGUGACCAAAUUGCCCGGAAUUGUGGUAUGUCACAGACGGAACUCCUGUAAG